GCUGCCCGAGAACAUGGCCCGUCUGUGGGGGAGACGGCCAGCUGACCUCCCCUCUCUGGUCCUCACCUGUCCUCCCCACUGUGUCGGCUCACAUCCUGGCAAGUGCACAAAACUGACAAAAACCUUCAGUUCAGGACAAAAUGGCCAAACUAGUCUUUAUUAAUCUCUCUAUAAUGUGAUUAUUCUUCAGCUACUUCAUCCUGAAACUAAAAAUAUCACAAUAACCUCUAAACUAGCAGAAAAACGUACUUAAAGUAUAAAAAUAAGUAUGAAUGGAACCUUUCUGGGGUUAAAUGUAGAGCCUUAUACACCCCGACAAACAAUUUUUAAAAAUCUAAUGGAAACUAAACAAUAUUUUGUGCACACAAGCUUUUAUUGUGUAGGGCCUACACUUGCAUACAAGAUUAUUCAACCCCUCUGACAUUUCUGACAUUCCUGCAAAAUGAGCAACAUCACAACUGCAGGCGUCUAAAUCAUUUAAGAGGUGAACAGUUUGGUGUUAUAUUUCAAUAAACGAAGAAAAAAAUCAAGAUUUAUUUCAUAAUCUAUCCAACAUUUGAACUUUUCUACAAAAAGCAGGUUGUAAAACUAUUCCACCCCCUAUAAACAAUGCUGGUAAAUACAAAUAACUGCAGUCCAACUCUAAUCCAUCCAUCUGUAUGUAGACAUUUAGAGGUGAACUCAACGAUGACGCAUGUUAAACACUGAAUAACACUGAUGUCUAUAAAAUGAGGACACUUUGUGUCAGUACUCCUCCUCUAGCUGCACCAUGGUCCAGACCAGAGAGAUGUUCCUGAAGUUUAGAGAGGAGAAAGUUGCUAGAAAGGAAAUGGGUCCAAGAAGAUCUCCAAGCUCUAGAAUGUUCCCAGAGACUCUGUUGGAAGCAUCAUUGGUAAGUUCAAAGCCACUGGUACUGUGGCUACACUAGAUGGUGGAAGAAGGAAGCUGUCAGCGAGAACAUCAAAGUUCCUGGAGACAGAUGGACCAGAACCCUCGGCUUACUGUCAAGGACCUGCAGGAAGAUCUGGCUGGAAGAGGAACUGAUGUUUCUGUGAAGACACUCCAUGCUGAAGGACUUAAUGCCAGAUCCCCUAGAUCAGGGGUCUGCAACCUUUAACACUCAAAGGGCAAUUUCGACCCGUUUCUCACAGAAAAGAAAACACCGGGAGCCGCAAAAUCCUUUUGGCAUUUAAAAUGAAGACAACACUGCAUAUAUCACUUUUUUACCUCUAUGCCCUUGUUAAUCAGUCGUGAUUAAUUAAUUACAAAGCCUCUAAUUAGAUAGAUUCAUUUUUUUAAUUGUGUCCUACCACUAAUAUUUAUCUUACUUGGUUAAUGUCAUUUUUGCUCCUGGACCUCAUAUGUUACGUAAUGUUAGCUGGAAAUCAAUCAUUUGCGAAUGUCUGUUUAACUUGUAAAAUCUAUUUAUCUUAAGCUAAUAACUUUUCUCCGGUAAGUCGCUGCCCUAUUUUCCAAGACGACACUCCUCUGACUCUCUGACCUGCUGCCUGGAUGCUGGACGUGACAUCGAGCCGUGUUCUCGUGAGUAACGUCGUAUUAACCUGACAUAUCAAAGAGUAGAUACUGAGCAAGACAAUUAUCUGUAGUUUACCUUCGUACUCAUGAGUACCCGACACAAUGCAGGACUCUGCUGUGAAGGUGGAGACGUGCGGCGGCGGUGUAUUUGUGACAAUUUUUUUUUAAAAAGAAAUUUGAAGGAGCGACAGCUAGGAUGUAGGAGUGGUGGCCCGCCACUGCUGAAUGAAUGCAGAGCAAACACUGGGAUCCAAAGAUCAACAGGACUCCAAAUGAAUACAUGCAGGCCGUUACAGAGAGCCACAACAGAGGGCUGAAAGAGCCUCAUGCGGCUCCGGAGCUGUGGGUUGCCGACCCCUGCCCUAGACGGACACCUCUUCUGAAAACACACCACAUGAACAAUGGUCUUCAGUCUGCUAGAACUAACCUAUCAAAGCCACAGAACUUCUGGGAAUCGGUUCUAUGGACUGAUGAGACCAAACUAGAGCUCUUUGGUCCUAUGGAUCAGAGGAAUGUCUGGGAGGAAGAACGAGGCCUACGAGGAGAAGAACACCCUUUUCCUGCUGUGAAGCAUGGUGGUGGAUCUGGGAUGCUGUGGGGGUGUUCUGCUUCUAAUGGAACCAGGAAUCUCCAACGUGUUGAAGGCACCAUGGAUUCGGGAAGUACCAGGAUGUUCUGGACAAGAAUGUCCCUCAGUCCAUGAAGACAACGACCCCAAACACACAUCAGAACCAACAAAGGCUGGUUAGAGAAGAAAGCCUGGAAGGUUCUAGAGUGGACAUCACAACCUCCAGACUGAAACCCAGUGGAGAAUCUGUGGUGGGUCUGAAGAAAGCUGCUGCAGCACGUAGACCUGAGAACAUCACUGGGCUGGAGACCAUCGACCAUGAGGAAUGGACUAAAAUUCCCAAGGAGCUGCCAGAAGCUUGUUAGAAGCGAUACCUCUGUCUACAGCAGGUCAUUGGAGCUAAAGGUGCUGAAGAUACAGAAUCAUAGGACCUGAAGAUACAAACUCAUGGGAGCUGAAGAUACAGCCUGAUAGGGGGUGGAAUCAUUUGGCAACCUACUUUUUUAUUUUUAAAAAAGUUAUAAUUUUGGAUGGGUUAUGAACUAAAUCUUGAUUUUCUUUCUUUAGUUUUAUAUUUUAAUAAACUAACUGUUCACCUCA